rnacentral:tRNA from 1 species
AGAAACACUCGUACUGGUCUUCAAAACCGGUCCGGUCGUGUAACCCACGGCUUGGUGGGUUCGACUCCCACGCCGCACUG